UCAGGCCUAACACAUGCAAGUCGAGGGGUAGAACAUUUCGGUGUUUGAGACCGGCGCACGGGUGCGUAACGCGUAUGCAACCUACCUUUUACAGGGGAAUAGCCCGGAGAAAUUUGGAUUAAUGCCCCAUGGUAUAUUUAGAUGGCAUCAUCUGAUUAUUAAAGUUCCAACGGUAAAAGAUGGGCAUGCGUCCUAUUAGCUAGAUGGUAAGGUAACGGCUUACCAUGGCAACGAUAGGUAGGGGUCCUGAGAGGGAGAUCCCCCACACUGGUACUGAGACACGGACCAGACUCCUACGGGAGGCAGCAGUGAGGAAUAUUGGACAAUGGGCGCAAGCCUGAUCCAGCCAUGCCGCGUGCAGGAAGAAGCAUCUAUGGUGUGUAAAGCUGCUUUUGUACGGGAAGAAAC
rnacentral:rRNA from 1 species